rnacentral:rRNA from 1 species
UCGAGAAUCUUUCGCAAUGCCCGAAAGGGUGACGAAGCGACGCCGCGUGCGGGAGGAAGGCCUUCGGGUUGUAAACCGCUGUCGGGAGUUAAGAAAUGCAAGGAUGUUAAUAGCGUUCUUGCUUGACUAAGGCUCCGGAGGAAGCCACGGCUAACUCUGUGCCAGCAGCCGCGGUAAUACAGAGGCGGCAAGCGUUGUUCGGAAUUAUUGGGCGUAAAGGGUGCGCAGGCGGUCUUGCAAGUCAGAUGUGAAAGCCCCGGGCUUAACCUGGGAAUUGCGUUUGAAACUACAAGGCUAGAGUGCAGCAGAGGGGAGUGGAAUUCCAUGUGUAGCAGUGAAAUGCGUAGAGAUGUGGAAGAACACCGAUGGCGAAGGCAGCUCCCUGGGUUGACACUGACGCUCAUGCACGAAAGCGUGGGGAGCAAACAGGAUUAGAUACCCCCGUAGUCCCUGAGCGGGCUGGCAAGGCGCAU